CGUCAGGUGGAUGAGGGGAAGGGGAGGCAGGAGGAGAGACCCGCGGCCGCCGGCGGUCCGAGUGGAGGGGAAUCUGAACUUCAGGAUCCCAUCAUGUUCUAUGUUUGUUCAGGAGGUUCACUUGACCAUGCAGACUUUUGGAUUCCUCUAAGUUCCCAUGUUUGAGGAAGCAUUUGGUGUUGCUGUGCAAAGUGUUGCUGCAGUGGAGGUUCAAGGUUACUGUUUAUUGAUAUGGAUCCCAUCAUACUUUGUUCAUUGUUUGUUCAGGAGUUUGCCCUAAGUCUCCGUGUUUGAGGGCCUAUUCUGUGGAUAUAUUUAUUUGCAGUUUUACUGAUGCAGUAAAUAAAUAGUCUAUGAAAAAAAUCACUAAAUCUGUC